AUUGAACGCUGGCGGCAGGCCUAACACAUGCAAGUCGAACGCGAAAGCACUUCGGUGUGAGUAGAGUGGCGGACGGGUGAGUAACGCGUGGGAAUCUACCUAGUAGUGGAGGAUAACUCGAGGAAACUCGAGCUAAUACUGCAUACGCCCUACGGGGGAAAGCGGGGGAUCUUCGGACCUCGUGCUAUUGGAUGAGCCCGCGUUAGAUUAGCUUGUUGGUGAGGUAAUGGCUCACCAAGGCGACGAUCUAUAGCUGGUCUGAGAGGAUGAUCAGCCACAUUGGGACUGAGACACGGCCCAA
rnacentral:rRNA from 1 species